CCCACGAAUAGCAGWCCGCGGUGAGCAGCGUGUCGUGGCUGUUUGGAGAGUUGACUUAAAAUAUUUUGACUCUGAGUAUUUUGUUCACUUUUUGAAUAACGUUAAGACUACUGUUAUUAUGGCGGUGGUAUUGUAGCGCUUCGAUAUGACCCUGAAACGUAGAUGCCGCCUUUGCUACUGAGUCGUACGUCCUCGAGUCCGCCAUAUUGGAUAGGUCAAUGUUAAAGCACGAGCUCAGAUCAGCUUUUUCUGUUGUUGUUUACAUGAUCGCAGUGGGAAAAUGCCGGUGUCUUGUGCAGCUUUUGGCUGUAAAAACAGACGAACUAGUCUGAGUAAGCAUCGGGGGAUAACUUUUCACCARUUUCCUAAAGAUCCUGGACUCAGGAAAGCCUGGAUCUUAGCUGUUAGACGGAGAGACUUCAAGCCCUCUAAUAAGACAGUUCUAUGUAGCAGUCAUUUCCACGACAAGGAUUUUGACAGAACUGGACAAACUGUUCGCUUGAGGGAACAUGUGAUUCCCUCAAUAUUUGAGUCAUUUCCAGACCAUUUGAAAAAGGCACCUGUAAAGACCAGAUCAACUAGGACAUCAAGACGUGCUUGUGAGCCAAGUAAUGAUCCUGCACCUGUACCUGUUCCUAAAGCUCCUGACUCACCAAAGCCUUCAGUAUCAGUAAGAUCAUCAUUACGCUCUUGAUCCAAAUCAAAUCAAGAUUAAACUGUCUGAGGCUCAAGCCAGAGUGGAACACCUUGAGCGGCAACUGAGAAAUGCCAAGGAUCGCGAACGACGACAGAAACAAGCUGUAAAGUUACUACUAGAUGAAUUAAGAAACACUGGAGUGAUUUCUGAUGAACUGCAGCUAAGGCUGACCCAGGACUCUGGUGACUUGUAAAUCGAGACAUCAUGAAGCCAAACUCAUGUUCAAAGGCUUCAAGUGACUGUUGGGAUCGUACAACUGUACAAAGACCAGCAUUUUCAACACUGGUUCAGUACUGCUCCAAGAGUUUUUUAUUUUUAUUGCUAUUAUUUUUUAUUUUAUUUUUUGUAUUUAACUAUUUCUUUGUUAAAAAGGUUACUGCUUAUUUCAGAUCGCACAAAAAAUGUUUUGUUAAAAAAGAUUAACAGUAAAGAUUUACUUGUUAUAAGAAAAAUCAAACCAUCAGUGACAUAGUUUUACUGGUAUAUUGGACUAUUAUUUGAUACUGACUUCAGUGGGAAAUUUCUAAUUCAUUGUUGCUGGGUCAGGUUGUUGGGCAUUUAAAACAAGUGAGAGUGAGAUAAUGGAGGGCUGAUUAUAAAAUCUGUAGCCACUGUUGAGGUGACUAAUCCUCAGCAUUUCCAGCUUGUCAGUAAAAUGUUUCCUUUGGCAGUCACAUGGUAGAGUCUGACAUAACUUACAACUAAGACUAUGUGAACAUCCAUGAACUGUUUAAAUUAAAUUUAAGUUUAAUUUAAA